ACCAAUAUUGCACCAAUUAAAAUCCACAACAAACUCAAUCAACAAAUCAUCUAUCUUAUUAAGCUUAAUUAAUCUCUUCAAGUUCAUAUCCAAUCUCCCUAAUCAACAUGUCUGGUCAUUGUGGAAACUGCAACUGUGCUGACAACACCCAGUGUGUGAACAAGGGAAACCAAAUUGGCAUGAUUGAGACUGAGACCAUCUACUACGAUGGUAUGAUGGAAGGCGGUAACUGUGGUGGCUGCAAGUGCGGCGCCGGCUGCGCAUGCACCGACUGCACCUGCUGCACUCACUAAGUAACGAAGCGCCCUCGUUAACUCGAAGGCCUUACUCAUAUUAUCUACGUAGUACUUCGUAUUUAAUAUGAGCUUCGUCUAACUACUACUUUAUUAUGUUACCUUAUACAUUAUGUAUAAGAUGAAUUAAUUAUUAUUCGAAUAAUUUUGUUAUUGUCACUGCUAUGUAAUUUGGCCUCUGUGCCUAGUUAUAUUGCUAUCAAUAUAUUGCAUCGAUUUUAUAAUUA